AAAAAUGAAAAAAUAAAAAUAACUAUUAAAACAAAAAUUAAAUGUAAAAAUUUUAUUUAAAUUUAGUCGUAACAAUUUUAUUUAAAUUCGACAAACUAAAUAAUUUAUUAUUUAUUAAAAAUUAUUUAAAAUUAAAUUAUUAAAUUAUAUGUGAAAAAAAAUUGGGCAAGAAAAAAAUGUGUUUGGGCCGACUGCAUACCGACUGUUACCCGACCGUUAACAAUCGGGUAAAA
rnacentral:lncRNA from 1 species